rnacentral:rRNA from 1 species
AAACCAACAGGGAUUGCCCUAGUAACGGCGAGUGAAGCGGCAACAGCUCAAAUUUGAAAUCUGGCUCUUUCAGAGUCCGAGUUGUAAUUUGCAGAGGGCGCUUUGGCUUUGGCAGCGGUCCAAGUUCCUUGGAACAGGACGUCACAGAGGGUGAGAAUCCCGUACGUGGUCGCUAGCUAUUGCCGUGUAAAGCCCCUUCGACGAGUCGAGUUGUUUGGGAAUGCAGCUCUAAAUGGGAGGUAAAUUUCUUCUAAAGCUAAAUAUUGGCCAGAGACCGAUAGCGCACAAGUAGAGUGAUCGAAAGAUGAAAAGCACUUUGGAAAGAGAGUCAAACAGCACGUGAAAUUGUUGAAAGGGAAGCGCUUGCAGCCAGACUUGCUUGCAGUUGCUCAUCCGGGCUUUUGCCCGGUGCACUCUUCUGUAGGCAGGCCAGCAUCAGUUUGGGCGGUGGGAUAAAGGUCUCUGUCACGUACCUCUCUUCGGGGAGGCCUUAUAGGGGAGACGACAUACCACCAGCCUAGACUGAGGUCCGCGCAUCUGCUAGGAUGCUGGCGUAAUGGCUGUAAGCGGCCCGUCUUGAAACACGGACCAAGGAGUCUAACAUCUAUGCGAGUGUUUGGGUGUCAAGCCCGAGCGCGUAAUGAAAGUGAACGGAGGUGGGAACCCGCAAGGGUGCACCAUCGACCGAUCCUGAAGUUUACGGAAGGAUUUGAGUAAGAGCAUGGCUGUUGGGACCCGAAAGAUGGUGAACUAUGCUUGAAUAGGGUGAAGCCAGAGGAAACUCUGGUGGAGGCUCGCAGCGGUUCUGACGUGCAAAUCGAUCGUCAAAUUUGGGCAUAGGGGCGAAAGACUAAUCG